UNUGACUUGAGUGCAGAAGGGGAGAGUGGANUUCCAUGUGUAGCGGUGAAAUGCGUAGAUAUAUGGAGGAACACCAGUGGCGAAAGCGGCUCUCUGGUCUGUCACUGACGCUGAGGCUCGAAAGCGUGGGUAGCGAACAGGAUUAGAUACCCUGGUAGUCCACGCCGUAAACGAUGAGUGCUAGGUGUUAGGCCCUUUCCGGGGCUUAGUGCCGGAGCUAACGCAAUAAGCACUCCGCCUGGGGAGUACGACCGCAAGGCUGAAACUCAAAGGAAUUGACGGGGGCCCGCACAAGCGGUGGAGCAUGUGGUUUAAUUCGAAGCAACGCGAAGAACCUUACCAGGUCUUGACAUCCCGAUGCUAUUCUUAGAGAUAGGAAGUUACUUCGGUACAUCGGAGACAGGUGGUGCAUGGUUGUCGUCAGCUCGUGUCGUGAGAUGUUGGGUUAAGUCCCGCAACGAGCGCAACCCUUAUUGUUAGUUGCCAUCAUUAAGUUGGGCACUCUAGCGAGACUGCCGGUAAUAAACCGGAGGAAGGUGGGGAUGACGUCAAAUCAUCAUGCCCCUUAUGACCUGGGCUACACACGUGCUACAAUGGUCGGUACAACGAGUUGCGAGCCGGUGACGGCAAGCUAAUCUCUGAAAGCCGAUCUCAGUUCGGAUUGGAGGCUGCAACUCGCCUCCAUGAAGUCGGAAUCGCUAGUAAUCGCGGAUCAGCACGCCGCGGUGAAUACGUUCCCGGGCCUUGUACACACCGCCCGUCACACCACGAGAGUUUGUAACACCCGAAGUCGGU
rnacentral:rRNA from 1 species